GGCUCUUUGAAAAGAAUUAAUAAAGAGUCAAACCUGCCCAGUGACAUGUGGUUUAACGGCCGCGGUACUUUGACCGUGCAAAGGUAGCAUAAUCAAUUGUCUUAUAAUUAAAGACUGGUAUGAAAGGUUUAACGAGAAUUCAACUGGCUCCUAUUAGCUAAAAUGAACUUGACUUUUAAGUGCAAAGGCUUAAAUAAUAUUGAAAGACAAGAAGACCCUAUUGAGCUUAAAAUUUUUUAAUAGUGCGGGUAUUAUAGUGCCUAAAUUAUGAUCUAUUAAUCUUUUUUAGUUGGGGCGACUCUGGAACAAUUAAAGCUUCCUAGAUGUAAUAUGACUUAAUCCUAUUUGACGUGAUCCAGGAUAGUUCUGAUUACUAGAAGAAGUUACCAUAGGGAUAACAGCAUAAUCCUCUUUGAGAGUUCUAAUCGAAAAGAGGGUUUGUGACCUCGAUGUUGGACUAGAAUAUCCUAAGGGUGCAGAAGUUCUUGAGGGUUGGUCUGUUCGACCAUUAAAAUUCU
rnacentral:rRNA from 1 species